UGCAUCUCCCGGAAGUACACAUUUGC
rnacentral:piRNA from 1 species